rnacentral:snRNA from 1 species
GUGCUCGCUUUGGUAAUACAAAUACUAAAACUUAAAUAAUUUGGAGAAGGUUAGUACUUUCCCUAUGCAAGGACGACACAAAUGAUUCAUGAAGCUCAUUGGUCUUGG